rnacentral:rRNA from 1 species
CGGUACGGGUCAUGAGAGUGAGAGCCCGGAGACGGACUCUGAGACACGAGUCCGGGCCCUACGGGGCGCAGCAGGCGCGAAACCUUUACACUGCACGACAGUGCGAUAGGGGGACACCGAGUGCGAGGGCAUAGAGCCCUCGCUUUUCUGAACCGUAAGGAGGUUCAGGAACAAGGGCUGGGCAAGACCGGUGCCAGCCGCCGCGGUAACACCGGCAGCCCAAGUGAUGGCCGAUAUUAUUGGGCCUAAAGCGUCCGUAGCUGGCCGUGCAAGUUCGUCGGGAAAUCCACUCGCUUAACGAGUGGGCGUCCGGCGAAAACUGCUCGGCUUGGGACCGGAAGAUCCAAGGGGUACGUCCGGGGUAGGAGUGAAAUCCCGUAAUCCUGGACGGACCACCGAUGGCGAAAGCACCUUGGAAGGACGGAUCCGACAGUGAGGGACGAAAGCUAGGGUCUCGAACCGGAUUAGAUACCCGGGUAGUCCUAGCCGUAAACGAUGCUCGCUAGGUGUGGCGCAGGCUACGAGCCUGCGCUGUGCCGUAGGGAAGCCGUGAAGCGAGCCGCCUGGGAAGUACGUCUGCAAGGAUGAAACUUAAAGGAAUUGGCGGGGGAGCACUACAACCGGAGGAGCCUGCGGUUUAAUUGGACUCAACGCCGGACAUCUCACCAGCUCCGACAGCAGUAAUGACGGUCAGGUUGAUGACCUUACCCGACGCUGCUGAGAGGAGGUGCAUGGCCGCCGUCAGCUCGUACCGUGAGGCGUCCUGUUAAGUCAGGCAACGAGCGAGACCCGCACCUCUAGUUGCCAGCAGCAUCUUGCGAUGGCUGGGUACACUAGGGGGACUGCCGUCGCU